rnacentral:lncRNA from 1 species
UACCAGCAUUUCUCUUUGCUGAUAAUCCCAGUGGUGCCUUGCAAACGGGAUUACAACAGUACCAUUUUUUUUUUCUCAUUAAGUGGGCUCUUUUAGGUUGUCGUGGCCAAAACUGGCAGGCAGCAAUACACGGAGGUAACUCCUAGUGCAUCACCUGCCGUGAAAGCUGGCAGUGCUCAGCUCCUUGCUGAUCCACAGGGAUGUGAAGGACGUUAAGGAAAUGGUGAGAUCAGACUCGGGGGUGUGUAAUGCAUCUCCUGCCUCGAUGUUCCCAUCUGCAGCCCCUGCAGUGAGCCCUCGUGCAAAUUCAGCAGCUGGAGCCUCUGAGCUAAUUGUUCAGGUUUUCUGCAUGAGAGCAGAACUGCUGGUGGAGGCUGACCUUGUUAAGACACGCUCUUUGGCUCGUCAGAGUGAAUCAGCACAAAAGACAGUAAACCAGAUGUUUCCAUAAUGGCUUUGAAGGAUGUGGAGGGAUUUGCUGCGGUUGCCCGGGUGUAAUGGAGAGCAGUACAUUGUGUUCUUGGUUAUCCUCCCCCUCUGACACUCAGAGGGCCUUAUUCCGCUCACUUCAGUUCCUCUUCUCUUCUCCUUUUCUCCUGGACACAGCUUUCUCAAUCACAACGAAAUAAAUCUUGCGACAGGCUGCGCUGGAGGCCGGCUCUGACUGCUCGGGGCUCUUCAGGGCCAGAAGUCACUUCUCCUCCUCUUGACCCCUGGACACGCAUGUCUGUGCUGGCAGAUGCUCUGCUGUUUGAGGGGGACUCUUGCCAUCUAGUGGGAGGGGAUGGGUUAAGGUUAGAAACGCAAGAAAGAUGGACGUGCUUUCUCCAUGAUGUGCUGCUCUUGUUCAAGCUGCCUGGGACCGAGAAGGAACAGCUGCUGCCUUCUUUGGUGGCUGCAAAAGAGCUCUGUCAUGCAAGGGCCCCUCCCAGAAUGGAAGCAGCUCUGGCUGACGGUGCUUUGGGUUCCAGUUGCCACAUGGCCGUGGGACUGUGCAAACCUUGCCAUGGUUCGGGUGGAGCAGCAACCAAAUAAAAAGGGUGAGAGGAUGAGGUCUGGGAAAUCCGUUCAGCCACCACCAAGCUCCUAAUGUGCAAGUCAUAGAAAUUCCAGUAGGGAUUAAGCAAUUUACAUCAAUUACAUUGGUUUAUCCCUCUGUUGAGGGAUGCAUUAACCUACUUUUCUAGAACCAUUGGUGUUUUUUAGCCAUCUGUGAGCCCAAAAGCAGGGAUCUAACCCCAACUGCACGUUGCAAGGAUAUUCCACUGGGGCCAAUUGGUGUGAAAAUUGCCACGUGUCGCUAACACCUCGCCGAACAGCCAGGUCCUUCAGUUCUUCAGAUAUCAUCUGGACCAUCUCAGAGCAGAGCAACCUUUACGGAGCUCGGCGUAUCCGCUGUGUGUAUUCGAUAGGUCAAGGCGACCUGGGUGAGAUUUGGACCUGCGGCUCCAGAGAGUCUACAGCGUGAAAGCAUAAGGCUCAGCGAGGCAAAUUAGCCUACCCUUUUAAAAAAAACUGAAGAUUAGAGGAGAUUAUAGAACCUAAUAGCGCAUGGCUAAUUUUUGGGAGCACAGACCAUGACUGUGGCUGCUUGGUCAAAUCCAGUCUUGACUUGUCCAUACGGCAAGGUGUGUGCUUCGGGCAGAUACAGAAGGAAACACCUCGGGUGCUGGCGUGGGGCUCUUCAGGAGGGUGCUCGGGCACUGGAAUGGGCUCCCCAGGGCAGUGUUCACAGCACUGAGCCUGACGGAGUUCAAGAGGCAUUUUCAGAUGUAUGGUUUGAUUUUGGGGUGGUCCUGUGUGUAGGUGGACUUGAUGAUCCUUGUGGGCCCCUUCCAACUCAGGAUAUCCUACGUGGUUUCCCUGGUCUCUUCUUUACGUGAUCAAAUGAUGCAAACCCAGCUGAAGCAGCAUUUUUUUUCCUGUAGAUGGUGUGAUUUUGAGAGCCUUUUUCUUAUUUAUUUGUUAAUUUAUUUUGCUGGGUGCUUGUCUUUUAGUCCUAACCAGCUGCAAUACGAAGGGGGCAGCAAAUUGC